CAUGUGAUUACCGGAGACAUCUUCGGAACAUCAAAGGUGGCGCAAGCUACCGCUUUUUGAGGAGCCCGCGGCCUAUCAGCUAGUUGGCGAGGUAACGGCUCNNCAAGGCUUUGACGGGUAGCUGGUCUGAGAGGACGACCAGUCACACUGGAACUGAGACACGGUCCAGACACCUACGGGUGGCAGCAGUCGAGAAUUUUUCUCAAUGGGGGCAACCCUGAAGGAGCGACGCCGCGUGGAGGAUGAAGGCUUUCGGGUUGUAAACUCCUGUCAUUUGAGAACAAGGUGCACAUGUUAACUGUAUGUGCAUUGAUAGUAUCAGAAGAGGAAGGGACGGCUAACUCUGUGCCAGCAGCCGCGGUAAUACAGAGGUCCCAAGCGUUGUUCGGAUUCAUUGGGCGUAAAGGGUGCGUAGGUGGCGCGCUAAGUCAGGUGUGAAAUCUCGGGGCUUAACUCCGAAACUGCAUUUGAUACUGGCGUGCUUGAGGACUGGAGAGGAGACUGGAAUUCACGGUGUAGCAGUGAAAUGCGUAGAGAUCGUGAGGAAGACCAGUGGCGAAGGCGGGUCUCUGGACAGUUCCUGACACUGAGGCACGAAGGCCAGGGGAGCAAACGGGAUUAGAUACCCCGGUAGUCCUGGCAGUAAACGGUGCACGUUUGGUGUGGGAGGAUUCGACCCCUUCUGUGCCGGAGCUAACGCGUUAAACGUGCCGCCUGGGGAGUACGGUCGCAAGAUUAAAACUCAAAGGAAUUGACGGAAUCGA
rnacentral:rRNA from 1 species